rnacentral:rRNA from 1 species
AAUACGUUCCCGGGCCUUGUACACACCGCCCGUCACACCAUGGGAGUUGGUUUUACCCGAAGCCGGUGGGGUAACCCGCAAGGGGGCUAGCCGACCACGGUAAGGUCAGCGACUGGGGUG